rnacentral:rRNA from 1 species
GGAGAACGUGCCCUUAAGUGGAGGAUAAUCUCGGGAAAUUGAGGAUAAUACUCCAUAGAUCAUGGGAUCUGGAAUGACCCAUGGUUGAAAGUUCCGGCGCUUAAGGAUCGCUCUGCGGCUUAUCAGGUUGUAGUGGGUGUAACGUACCCCCUAGCCAGUGACGAGUAUGGGCCUUGAGAGAGGGAGCCCAGAGUUGGAUUCUGAGACACGAAUCCAGGCCCUACGGGGCGCAGCAGUCGCGAAAACUUCACACUGGGGGCAACCCCGAUGAGGGAAUUCCUAGUGCUAGGACAUUUGUUCUAGCUUUUCUCUAGCGUAGAUAACUAGAGGAAUAAGGGCUGGGUAAGACGGGUGCCAGCCGCCGCGGUAAUACCUGCAGCCCAAGUGGUGGUCGAUUUUAUUGAGUCUAAAGCGUUCGUAGCCGGUUUGAUAAAUCCUUGGGUAAAUCGGGAAGCUUAACUUUCCGACUUCCGAGGAGACUGUCAAACUUGGGACCGGGAGAGGCUAGAGGUACUUCUGGGGUAGGGGUAAAAUCCUGUAAUCCUAGAAGGACCACCGGUGGCGAAGGCGUCUAGCUAGAACGGAUCCGACGGUGAGGGACGAAGCCCUGGGUCGCAAACGGGAUUAGAUACCCCGGUAGUCCAGGGUGUAAACGCUGCCGACUUGGUGUUGGAGGCCCUUCGGGGGCAUUCAGUGCCGGAGAGAAGUUGUUAAGUCGGCCACUUGGGGAGUACGUCCGCAAGGAUGAAACUUAA